ACAAACUCAAGAUAUAGUCUAGUCUUGAUCAAUAUUAACAUUUUUGCAAUUCAAACGAUGGCAAAAACUAAUUCUCUGCAGUUCUCUCCACUUUUUCUUGGUCUCUUUCUGGUUUUGAUUAUCUCGUUGGGUUCCGAAUGUGUGAAUGCGGGCUGUACGGACUUCUAUCAUAGCGCAACUCACAUUUCUAUACAUACCGUCUGUCAAGAUGAAUGUACGUCUUUCUUUGGGGAUAAGCUUUUGACUCACGAAGUUCAUGAUCUGACUUGGUUGGGUAGAUAUCAAUGCAAAUGUUGCUAUGAAGAUUAAACCUCUUACAUCAAUCCGUUCACAAAUACAUCGUCACUCCUAAGUAACGUUUCUUGUCUGAUCAAUAUACCUGUUUGAGCAUUAACUGUAUGUGUUGAUUCUGUUUUAUUAAUAUUUAAGUUGUUUUCUUAAUAAUUAGCAUCAUUAUUGGAUGCCAUCUUUUUCGUUUUUAGAGUCAUCGGCUCUCGCUUUGGAUUGCAGUAAUAAAUAAUAUUAUCUUGUGUUUGAGUUUGAUACACCA